rnacentral:lncRNA from 1 species
UGACUUGACCGUCGGAGGGUCUCCGCCGGAGUUAUCUCCAGUCAGUGCGGAUUUUUUUUGCAGACGUUCGCUCCCGACGAUCAGACGACGAGGGGAUUGGCCGCAACACCUAUUAAUCCUUGCUCUAUAUUGGUUGUGGCUGAGGAUGGCAUAUUGCACCCAUCCGUUUUGGCCAAGAUCUGUGAUGUUGGCACUGGAACUCGUUCCAGUAGACAACCAAUCCGAUAUAUUAUAUAUCCGUAUCAUGCUAUUCUAGAACAUACCGGCAG